rnacentral:rRNA from 1 species
GAUGAACGCUGGCGGCGUGCCUAAUACAUGCAAGUCGAGCGAACGGACGAGAAGCUUGCUUUUCUGAUGUUAGCGGCGGACGGGUGAGUAACACGUGGAUAACCUACCUAUAAGACUGGGAUAACUUCGGGAAACCGGAGCUAAUACCGGAUAAUAUUUUGAACCGCAUGGUUCAAAAGUGAAAGACGGUCUUGCUGUCACGUAUAGAUGGAUCCGCGCUGCAUUAGCUAGUUGGUAAGGUAACGGCUUACCAAGGCAACGAUGCAUAGCCGACCUGAGAGGGUCAUCGGCCACCCUGUCCCUGCGCCACGGUCCCGACUCCGACGGGAGGCACCCGGAGCGACUCUUCCCCCUUGGGCGACAGCCUGACGGAGCAACGCCGCUUGUGUGAUUGAGGUCUUCGGAUCGUAAAACUCUGUUAUUAGCGAAGAACAUAUGUGUAAGUAACUGUGCACAUCUUGACGGUACCCACUCAGAAGUCCACCGCUAACUACGUC